ACACAGGUAGUUCAGUGGUAGAAAACCUGCCCGGUAAGCGGAAGCCCCGGGUUCGACUCCCGGUCUGUGCA
rfam:Pristionchus pacificus strain PS312 contig13210, whole genome shotgun sequence.